UACUGAAGCCCUUAGCCAGCGACUCUAAAAAAAUCAGCUAUAGUCGCCCCUCCGGGGGUUGGCGACGCCAUCAAUCUGUGUCUGGGAGUGCACCCCAAGGGGAGUACCACCAGCAGCUCGUUUGCAUUCGAGUUCACAGGUCAAACGAUAGCGGCCACUUCGGUGGUUGAGAUAUGAUCGGCCUCCAGCUGUCACCUAGCUGGGGAGAUUGUGGAACCUGCGGAAGGAUCAUUA
rnacentral:rRNA from 1 species